rnacentral:misc_RNA from 1 species
AACUUUCAACAUUGGAUCACUUGGCUCUCGCAUCGAUGAAGAACGCAGCGAAAUGCGAUAAGUAAUGUGAAUUGCAGAAUUCAGUGAAUCAUCGAAUCUUUGAACGCAUCUUGCGCUCCUUGGUAUUCCGAGGAGCAUGCCUGUUUGAGUGUCAUUUUAACUUCUCAACCACAUCAGAUAUUUUGAUGCUGGCUUGGAUUGUGGGGGUUGUUUUGCAGGCCUUCUGUAGAAGAAGGUCGGCUCCCCUGAAAUGUAUUAGUGGUAUCUGAGGCUACUACUAUGGGUGUGAUAACUAUCUAUGCCUUUGGUGUGCCGCAUGAACAGAUUGCGCUGCUUAUAACAACAAAACAAUUGUAUUUGACAAAUCUGACCUCAAAUCAGGUAGGACUACCCGCUGAACUUAAGCAUAUCAAUAAGCGGAGGCU